AAUCAUAAUGGCCGAAAAUCUAAGGUUUCUUGGGGAAGGUUCGUCCGCCCAAGGUUAGUCGGGAGCUAAGGCGAGGCCUAACGGCGUAGUCGAUGCACAUACGGUAGAAAUUCCGUAACCACCGAACUUUAAGCAUAAGGGACGCUUUCAUUAAGGUUAUCCCGGGCGAUGGUUGCCCCGGGCGUAAGGGACCGAAAAAUAGUAGGGAAGUAACUGGCGUGAGAGACGAGAAAAGCUUAUGUGUAUACUAAGGUGCCCGUACCGCAAACCGACACAGGUAGAUGGGAUGAGUAUUCUAAGGCCAACGGGAGAAGGGUUGUUAAGGAACUCGGCAAAUUGGCCCCGUAACUUCGGGAUAAGGGGCGCCUGCGAGAGCAGGCCGCAGUGAAAAGGCCCAAGCGACUGUUUAGCAAAAACACAGCUCUCUGCUAAAUCGAAAGAUGACGUAUAGGGGGUGACGCCUGCCCGGUGCUGGAAGGUUAAGGGGAGUGCUUAGCAGCAAUGCGAAGGUGCGAACUUAAGCCCCAGUAAACGGCGGCCGUAACUAUAACGGUCCUAAGGUAGCGAAAUUCCUUGUCAGGUAAGUUCUGACCCGCACGAAAGGCGUAAUGAUUUGGGCACUGUCUCAACAGCCCGCCCGGCGAAAUUGUAGUACCGGUGAAGAUGCCGGUUACCCGCAACUAGACGGAAAGACCCCAUGGAGCUUCACUGUAGCUUGAUAUUGGAUUUCGGUAUUUCAUGUACAGGAUAGGUGGGAGACUUGGAAGCACGGGCGCCAGCUUGUGUGGAGUCGUCCUUGGGAUACCACUCUUGGAAUAUUGGAAUUCUAACCUGCGGCCCUGAAUCGGGUCGGGGGACACUGUCAGGUGGGCAGUUUGACUGGGGCGGUCGCCUCCUAAAGAGUAACGGAGGCGCUCAAAGGUUCGUUCAGCACGGACGGAAAUCGUGCGCUGAGUGUAAACGCAUAAACGAGCCUAACUGCGAGAAUGACGGUUCGAGCAGUAACGAAAGUUGGAGUUAGUGAUCCGGCGGUAUGUGAAUGGAAAUGCCGUCGCUCAACGGAUAAAAGCUACCCUGGGGAUAACAGGCUGAUCU
rnacentral:rRNA from 1 species